UUUUGGGCUUGUUAUCGAAUACAAGAACUUGUACUGUGUCUUAAUUCUUAAAAUACGAAACACACAAAUUUGUUCGAAGAUACAUAGAUUCAGACUCACAUUUUAAGCAGGAAAGGGCACAAUUUUUUUUCUUUUAACUCCAGAAAUUGGAAGAGGCCACAAGAAAUGCUCUGCUCACAAUACCUGCUAGUGACUAUGCACUACUUGGGGCACCUUCCUUGGUUCACAUAAGAAACUUGGUGCGAAGUAUAUAUACCUACCAGUACUUGAAUCAUGUACUUCUUUAGAGAGAGAGAGAGAGAGAGAGAGAGAGAGAGAGAGGAAAUUCUUGGGGUUUCAUGCUUGCGCAUGACACCUGUAGAGCUUCUCUGUUCUUAUCAUUUCACCGCUUAAGCCGCUUAUUUAUUGCGCAUGAA